rnacentral:misc_RNA from 1 species
CUGAAUUGCCAACACGGGUUGUUGCUGGCCCUCAAACGGGGGCAUGUGCACGCUCUGUUCGCACAUCCACACACACCUGUGCACCCUCUGUAGUUCUAUGGCAUGGAGGACACUGUCCUCCGGUUGUGGUUCUAUAUCUUUACACACACAUGCGAUGCAAUAAAGUCCCAUGGAAUGCACACCGCGUUUAACGCAAUACAAUA